GGGAGAGCUCAAAAUUAUUAAAAUGCCAGUGAAAGGGCAGCACCAGUCCCGCUGUGUCACCACAUUUCCUUCUCAACCUGGACUUGGGACAGAGACCAGUCCUGCAGACACCUCGGCAAGGAGGAGCCCUUGAUGAGGACGACGACGAGCCGCUUUUGGACAUACAGGAAAACUCUGUGCAACUCCCAUGUACACACUGCACAAAGGAAACAGCUUUAAGCAACCACCGGUGAAACGUGGAAGCCUUUUAAGAUCUCUGGAGCUGGCACAGGAAUG